rnacentral:rRNA from 1 species
UACGAAGGGGGCUAGCGUUGUUCGGAAUUACUGGGCGUAAAGCGCACGUAGGCGGAUAUUUAAGUCAGGGGUGAAAUCCCAGAGCUCAACUCUGGAACUGCCUUUGAUACUGGGUAUCUUGAGUAUGGAAGAGGUAAGUGGAAUUGCGAGUGUAGAGGUGAAAUUCGUAGAUAUUCGCAGGAACACCAGUGGCGAAGGCGGCUUACUGGUCCAUUACUGGACG